UCUAAGAGUGUCAGAAAAGUGUAAUGAACUUAAAAUCCAUUUAUAAAGAAAAAAAUUCUUUCCUUAGAA
rnacentral:tRNA from 1 species